CACUCUGAGCUCCUAUCGCACCGCAGUCGUAUUCUUGGUUUAUGUCGACGGCAAACAAAUACUAUAAUGAGUUAUUACUUAAUUAUUAUGCUUAAUUUUUUUCCUUUGAUAUGUUGGUUUUUCUUUUGAUAGCUUACCACAUACUUAUAGUAUAAACAAACAGGAAUUUGGCUUUGUAAAUUAUUUUGCGCCUUUGCAUAUGAUCUGGCCAGAUUUCUACGUAAUGCUGAGGCUUGAAGCAUCACAAAAGCUUGUACAGAAUCAUGUGUACUGGUUGGGUUCGAAUAUAUAGAUUGAGAUUUUUUUUUCUUGCCGAAAGGAUUGCCCUUCUUCACAUAGCUGCAGCACGUCCACAACACAUGUUUUGUCGCAUGCACGUAUCAUACGCUGUUAGCCUUUGGAUUAGAUGUUCACGUUCUAGUACUCCCUCCGUUCCUAAAUAUUGUCUUUUUAGGUAUUCACGUUCUAGUACUCCCUCUGUUUAUAUUUCUUGAUGUCAUUUCUAGUAUGCAAUCAUAUGACAUGUUUCAUGUAAAUUAAUAUGGGCUGCUAUCAAUUUUUUAAUCUGCAAUUGAUCUAGUGUUUUUUACAUGGUAGCUUAAUAUCCUCCUUCCUUUUCUAAUAUGCAAACUUCUAAUAUGUGAGGUGCAGAAGUGCAUGAGGUGCGGUUCGCCUUAGGCUCCUCCCACUCAUCGACGGUCCGGUCCAGCGUCACUUAACCAUUGUGACCUGGCCGGUUUGGUUCAGCUUUGAGCUGCCCACCGUGGAGUAGGAGGACGGCAUGCUCAUGAACAUCGAGGUCGGAUCAAGUAUGAUGGUGCACCGUGGCAUGUGGUGGCCUAUUUUUUUUGUAGUGGUACUGUAUAUGGUCUCAUCCAACAUUGAGUAUCCAUAUGUUGUUUUAAUACUGAUGAUAAUGUUGUAGCAUAAAGUAGACACCAUAUCUGGUUUGUCUUGAUGUUUUAACUAUGGUGGUUCUUGUCUGAUGCACAUUAUUCUUUGAAGGGUUAUGAUGAUAGAAAUAUAUUGACCCUGAUGUGACAAAGGUGCCCAUUUUCCCUUUGUUAAACAUUUUCACUCUGCUUUAUGUUCUUUGCAUAGUUCCAGUUUCACACUGCUGGUGUUUCAUGCGAUAUUCAUCGCAUCCUGCUCACAUGCCUUAUGAUCGAGUAACUUGAUGAAAAACUAUGUUGUUUGUUCAUUCUGCUAUAUUAUUUUGAGAUCAUGUGGUGUAAUGAUAUUGUUGUGUUAUUUUGAGAAUUAUAUUAUUAUCAUUAUAUUCUCAUGUGCUUUUUGUCGACUACCAAAUUUUCCAAUGAAAUGUUGUUGAUAUCCCUUGAAUAAUGGCUGGACUAAAUUAUGCGAGUGGGCUAGAAAUGGGCUGGUUCAAUUAAUGAUGGAAUGAAUAGCUGGGUUGUACAUUGCCUUUGCUAAGAAAAAACAUUAAGUGGGUCAAGGUUGUGGCCCAAAAGUAAAUCUAAAAUUGACAGAAAUAAUGGUCUCCACCUAUAGUUGUGGCCUAAAAGUAAAUCUAAUAAUGGGCUAAUUAUUGGGCUUGUCCCAUUAAAACAGCUGAUUUUAACCGAUCCUACAUAGCGUCCAUGUCAUCAUUUUUUCCAUGUCACUGCAUGUGCCACGUGGACAUUGCCACAUCAGAUCCUAUGCGUUUCAAGCUCAUUAGUAAUGACCAUAAUUUUGGUCAUAGAUUUUACGACCAAUAUUUUGGUCAAGGGCGGCCAUGACCAAAAUUUCAGAAAAGGUCAAGUUUGUUCGUUCUUGACGGCCAACUGUUGACGUCCUGAAUUUGGUCAAAAAGGUCAAUAAAUGAUAACAAUGACUAAUCAACGACCAAAAAGGAGAGUCAUAAUCGACCAUAUUUCUUGUAGUUGUUUCAUUGUCUUGCAGUUUUAUUUUGAUUUCAUCUCUUUACUCAACGUCGUUUCUUUUGGCGUAAUGCAGUGGGAUUGUUAACCCUUUCAUUUGCUUAGCUCCCGAGUAUAAUUUACAGGUUUGACUGAAUUGUGGAGAGGAAUGGCGAUUCGUUGCUGGUGCAGAGUCAGGAGUGCUUGGAGAAGGUUACCAAGACGGUCUCCUUCCUCGCGCAGCCUGAAGCCUCAUUCCUGUUGUUGCUCACAGUUCAAAAGGACCGCGCGCUGGAGCUCCUAAACCUGCACCCCUUCUACUUCGUUUACUUAUGUGGCGUGAAGACAUAAAGCAAACCUUUGGAGCCAUAGUUGUCUUUUUUGUCAUCUAAAAUAAUAAUGGUAACAUAUUAAUGCAAACAAAAUAAUAUCGUAGCUCAAAAAAUUGUUUGUGAAUAAUGAAUGGAUGCUAUGGAACUAUAUUUGUUAUGGA